CUUAAUGUGGUUGGGUCUUGUAUAUCGCAGCUUUGCAGACUGCUUUUGAGAGUUUAAAAUUAUUUAUGCAAUGCCUUCUGCAAGUACAGAAUCCAAGGGAAUUAUCCUGUUGAGAGAUGCAGCUGGGGCCCACUUUCACAUCCCUCCUGAAUGGCUCACAGUCUCACAGAUUUCAUAGAAAGCAUAUUCUGACCUUCCCCAAACCUUGAGCAAUGAGUUUGAUUGGCCCCAGUUUUCAUGCAUCACCAGAUUUCUGAACCCCACAAUUGGAGGAUGGACAGACUUCAUCUACCUGUGUUUAUGUAAAAGAAACCACUGCAACCAUAGAGAUUACCAGAAUAUUUAUCAAAAUGGUGCCUCUUCAAAAGACCUUUGGGAUCUGGUUAAAAAG